rnacentral:hammerhead_ribozyme from 1 species
AUCCAGUUGACGAGUCCCAAAUAGGAUGAAACGUAGACCCUGGAU